CCCUACGGGGUGCAGCAGGCGAAUGCAUUAUCCGGUGAAAUUGCACUUGGAAGUGGUGAAUCAAACGGAAUGUAUAUAGUAGCUGAUAUAAUAAGCGGAUUUCGGAAGAGAUAUCCACAGAUUCGAUUUGAAAUUUAUACGGAUAGUGCAGAUGGAAUAAAAGAGCGAUUUGAACAUGGACUGAUCGAUUUUGCUAUUUUUCUGGAACCGGUUGAACCUGGAAAAUAUAAUUUUAUCAGAAUGCCGCAAAAGGACACAUGGGGAGUAAUGAUGCGGAAUGAUCAUCCACUUGCCCAAAAAGGUUAUGUGGAGCCGGAUGAUCUCAGAGAGAUACCGUUACUCAUGCCCGGUAGAUUUCUGAUUCAGAAGGAAUUGGCGGGAGGGC
rnacentral:rRNA from 1 species